UCAGGUCUCCAAGGUGAACAACCUCUGGCCAAUGGAACAAUGUAGGCAAGGGAAGUCGGCAAAACAGAUCCGUAACUUCGGGAAAAGGAUUGGCUUUGAGGAUUGGGCUUGGGGGUCCCGGCCCCGAACCCGUCGGCAGUCGGCGGAUUGCUCGAGCUGCUCACGCGGCGAGAGCGGGUCGCCGCGUGCCGGCCGGGGGACGGACCGGGAAUCGUCCCUUCGGGGGCUUUCCCCGAGCAU
rnacentral:rRNA from 1 species